UAAUGAGGUUGGGCUAACAAGAAAAAUUGGUUUUUCUGGAAAACAAAAUCCUUGAGUUAAGAGAGCUAUCAUAAUAUUCAACAGUUAAGCACAACUCUCUUCCUCCCAAUCUCUCUCAUUCCCAACUUUUUCCCUUUUUCUUUUCAUUGAGCUCAUCUUCAUGCUUUUUCUUACUUUUUUCUUUUUCUCAUGUAUUUUUCUUUUUCAACAUUUGAGCUCAAUACUUCUUAACAGCUUUUCAAUUUCCCCCAUGCAACCCCAAACUUGAACCUUUUUAUCACAUACAAUUAAAAGCUCAUCCCAAC
rnacentral:lncRNA from 1 species